GGGGAAUAUUGCGCAAUGGAGGAAACUCUGACGCAGCAACGCCGCGUGAAUGAUGAAGGCCUUAGGGUUGUAAAGUUCUGUCUUCUGGGACGAUAAUGACGGUACCAGAGGAGGAAGCCACGGCUAACUACGUGCCAGCAGCCGCGGUAAUACGUAGGUGGCAAGCGUUGUCCGGAUUUACUGGGCGUAAAGGAUGCGUAGGCGGAUAUUUAAGUCAGAUGUGAAAUACCCGGGCUCAACUUGGGUGCUGCAUUUGAAACUGGAUAUCUAGAGUGCGGGAGAGGUAAGUGGAAUUCCUAGUGUAGCGGUGAAAUGCGUAGAGAUUAGGAAGAACACCAGUGGCGAAGGCGACUUACUGGACCGUAACUGACGCUGAGGCAUGAAAGCGUGGGGAGCAAACA
rnacentral:rRNA from 1 species